GAUGAAGAACGCAGCGAAAUGCGAUAAGUAAUGUGAAUUGCAGAAUUCAGUGAAUCAUCGAAUCUUUGAACGCACAUUGCGCCCCUUGGUAUUCCGAGGGGCAUGCCUGUUCGAGCGUCAUUAUAACCCUCAAGCUCAGCUUGGUGUUGGGGCCUGCUGCACUGGCAGCCCUUAAAAUCAGUGGCGGCGCCAUCUGGCUCUAAGCGUAGUAAUUCUUCUCGCUAUGGAGUCCUGGUGGAUGCUUGCCAUCAACCCCCAAUUUUUCUAUGGUUGACCUCGGAUCAGGUAGGGAUACCCGCUGAACUUAAGCAUAUCAAUAAGCGGAGGA
rnacentral:misc_RNA from 1 species